ACUGUUAAACAUUGUUCGUUUCUGUAUUGCCAAAUUUCCAAGUUGCUAGUUGGUGAUGAAAUGAUGGUCAUUGGUAGGCCUACGUUCGUUAUCAGUAUGUUAAUAACCUGGUGGCAUUAUUGCGUGAAUGCUUUGCACACUUAAUGAAUAAGGUCCUCAAGUGUGUGGAGUUUCGCUGAGUUCGUUGUUUAUUUACAUUUUCCUCAGCAUAACUGUACAGCUGACACAGCUGCCUUCUGUAUCAUAACAAAGCCUGUCACUUCCACGUUUCGUUCUUUUUAUGUGACCGAAGUCACUGGCUACUGCACCAGAGAGGGCCUCUGCACUCAUUGCUGGUCCUAUGAUGCCAUCUAUUGGCGAUAACGUGCAACAGCAUAAUUAAACUAAAAGACAACUUCUGACAGGACAACAAAAAGACAGGGAAUGAGAAUAAGGGAAUAACAAAAAGACAAAAAUGGGGGGUCCACUACACUUGCAUACAAACUGAUUGUGAUGCUGUCACUCAUUUUCUAGUCUAUAUCUUGGACUGAAAAAGGAUUACAUUAUUAUGUUUCAGGUGUUUUGCCCCUGCGGUUGUGAGGAGGAUGCUGUGUAGGUGGCAGCGUGAACAUGUGUAGUAAACAUCCUUUCCCCAUCCUCAUGUGACAUGGUUUCAUUCUGUAGGCAAACAACAAACCACACUUCACCUGGAAAACAGAGCCAGGACUCACUGUCAGAUGUCUGCAAAUGUACAGUAGGCUACACGCCAGCAGGUCUCACCAUAGUCAGCAUCAUCAAGGAUUGUCACUCCGACCUGAGAAGAGGCCCCAUAGAGACACGGACAAGGACCAGCCACGGUUGCCAGUGCACAACUGAGGACCCGACCAGCCUGCUGCCAUCUAUGAUACUAUAUAGUACCCGGUAUGUAACAUUACACUACACUCAGCCAAUGCUUUCAUCCAAAGUGACUUUCACUUAUUUUUACAUGUGCCUCCCAAUUUGAAGGGGCAAAA